CAGCCGCCACGGGAAUACGGAGGGGGCUAGCGUUGUUCGGAAUUACUGGGCGUAAAGCGCACGUAGGCGGCUUUGUAAGUCAGAGGUGAAAGCCUGGAGCUCAACUCCAGAAUUGCCUUUGAGACUGCAUCGCUUGAACGUCGGAGAGGUGAGUGGAAUUCCGAGUGUAGAGGUGAAAUUCGUAGAUAUUCGGAAGAACACCAGUGGCGAAGGCGGCUCACUGGACGACUGUUGACGCUGAGGUGCGAAAGCGUGGGGAGCAAACAGGAUUAGAUACCCGUGUAGUCCCUGUCUCUUAUAU
rnacentral:rRNA from 1 species